CCUACGGGAGGCAGCAGUGAGGAAUAUUGGUCAAUGGACGCAAGUCUGAACCAGCCAUGCCGCGUGCAGGAAGACGGCUCUAUGAGUUGUAAACUGCUUUUGUACGAGGGUAAACGCAGAUACGCGUAUCUGUCUGAAAGUAUCGUACGAAUAAGGAUCGGCUAACUCCGUGCCAGCAGCCGCGGUAAUACGGAGGAUUCAAGCGUUAUCCGGAUUUAUUGGGUUUAAAGGGUGCGUAGGCGGUCGGAUAAGUUAGAGGUGAAAUCCCGAGGCUCAACUUCGGAAUUGCCUCUGAUACUGUCCGGCUAGAGAGUAGUUGCGGUAGGCGGAAUGUAUGGUGUAGCGGUGAAAUGCUUAGAGAUCAUACAGAACACCGAUUGCGAAGGCAGCUUACCAAACUACGACUGACGUUGAGGCACGAAAGCGUGGGGAGCAAACAGGAUUAGAUACCCCUGUAGUC
rnacentral:rRNA from 1 species